CCCCCCAACAUACCCACACUCCUUGACACCUGCCCACGCGGGGCCGGGUCUUCGUGUAAAGCCGCUCCAGAGUGGGGGGCCAGCACGACACCCACCCACGCCCCCCCCCCCGCCACUCCACCCCCGGGCACUGGGGAGAGCCGUCCUGCCGCCCCCUCGCCGUGCACCACCUCCUUCCAUCCCUCCUCCAUCCCUCCAUCCCUCCCCUCCAUCCCUCCCUCCCAUCCUUCCCCGCACACCUCCCGCUCCGGUGCACACCGAAACUUCUCCCAGCCCGCCCCCCACCCCCCUCCACUCCCCGCCCGCCUCCCGCGCCCUAAAACCCAGCCGGGGCUUUGACGAGCGUUUUCAUGCUGUUUCCAAACCCGGAGCGAUGGAGGAGAGGGGAGAGUAGGAACCGGCAGCGAUUUAGGACACCCUCCUUCCAGCGACGAGUGGUCACGCUACAAGUUUGCCUGACAGCAGGGAUGGGAAGACAGUCUUUUCUGUUAGCACCAUGAUUUUUUUCUAAUUUUUCUUUUCUCCUUCUUUUUUUUUUUUUUUUUUUCCUGCUGUUGGCCGGCUGGUGGGUUCGGACAAAAGUUGCACAAAAUGGCAGAGCCUCCCAAAAACAAGACGCGGAAGAAACUGUUCUUCAGAAGUUAGCCGGAGGAAAACACCUUAGGAAACUCGACCUUUUGCUGCAAUUUUUUUUUCUUUUUAAGUUUCCAAAGAAAUGCCCCGCUUUCCUUCUUCUCUAGGAAAAGGUAGCCAUUGCUCUUCUUUAGACUAGACAUUUCUAAUUUGUUCCGUCUGUCAGAAUGGGACUAUGAGAGGUUUUGGUGCAAAUUCAUUAUCUCUGGCAACGCAUAACCUAUAGUAGGAACUGAAAAAGACCGUGGCAAUGGAUGAACAAUAGGGCUUCAGUUCAUCAGCAACAAAAGCGUUGGGGAAAUUGGUUGAAUUUCAGAGCACGUCCUCCUCAGCAGAGAGGGCUGGACUAGACCUUGGCCAACCCCCCCAAAAACUUGCAGAGCCUCACAUACAACACUUCACUUCUACUCCGGGGCGUAGGAAGCAAUACGGAAAAAGGAAAAUAAAAUAAUAAUAAAAAACCAAACCAGAAAUCCAACCCAAGCCAACUUUCUGCGUUUCUCUCCCGUUUUCCUGGAUGGAAGAUUUCUAACUCUUUUAGAGCGCAAGAAUUACACCGUGGAGCUAAGCGGCACUUUUAAAGAGGGAUGGCGAGGGGAAAGACGUGAAUUUCUGGAGACAUGAAAGAGCUUUCUCUGCUCGGAGGGGGCUUGGCCGUGGGGAUCUUUGUUUGCCACCGGAGGCUCAGCUCACCCCCUUAGAUCAGGGGUCAAAUCUUUCUCUGAUAAAGGCGAAGAAAUAUUUAGACAACGCAGACAGACCACAGGGAGUGACAGUCAUGACAAGAAACGAGCAGUGUAUGGCUAGUGACCUAUCUUCCCAAGGAGAAUGACUGAGAUGUCUGUUUGGAAUUAUUCCUGGAAUUAGACCAGCAUGAGGUCUCCUCUACCAAUCUGAGAGCCUGAUUCAGCAAAUUUACUUACAAGAAACUACUCGUAUGAGUAACCCAUUGAUACUAAGAUAUUUACUCAGGUGGCAAGAAGAAGAAAAAGUGAUUAUGAUGCAGCUGAAUUGCAAAAUCAAGAGCUAUUUCACAAGGACUCCACCCCCUGGGAUCUCAGUGAAUUAUGUUCCCAAUGAAAGAUUAAGUGACAAGUUUUAAUGAAGGAGUUUAUUCUUAGUUUCAAGUGUCAUGUGAAAGUCACUCAAGUGGAAAUUAUUACUCAGAAAGACCUCUUCUGUAAGAAGAGUGUUCACACAUACAAGUUUUGGCAAGGAUGGGCCCUCAGACUGCUGUGAGAACCCUUCCAUGGAUAAAGUUAGUGUGGGGAAAUGGAGUUUAGAACUGACUCUCGACACUUGAUGCACAUUUGGCAGGAGGCCAAGGUGAAUCACAAUAAACAUCCAGAAGAAAAUGCCAAAUACAAGAAAAUAACAGCAACUUAAUAUGAUUUAAUACCAAUAAAGUGGUUAAGGUUAGUGGAAACAGUCCUUGAUCUUUUCGUCUUCUAAUAAAUUAAAAAUGAUUUUAUAAUACAUUAUAGCUGGUGUAGCUCCUUCCAGCUAGGGCCAUCCAUCACAGCCUGGGUGGAAACACUGCCUUCUCUCUGUAUGAUGGCAGCCAAACUGUUGAGGAAGGUUCGUGGCAGAGGACAGAGGGUAACAAAGACCUACACGCUCUGUUCAGGAGCCCAUUCCUGCCAUUUUCUACAAUUUCCUUUUUGUUCUUUUAUUGAAGCAACAGGUACCAGCUCUUGCUCUAACAUGCACUGUGAUGCAGCCAUCCUAUCACUCCACACCUCCAAAGUGGUUUUGGGUCCCGGGAUGCAAAGACUGACCUUCAGCCAUGCCUAGCAAAACUGGUGGCACUGAGCAAUGCAAAUUGUCUUCCUGCACCACUUAUUGAGAGACCCCUGUGGCACCUGCCUCUCAUCUCCUCUCACCUCCUCACAUUUGAGUGUUUCAUCCUAAGGAGUCACAGCAGCUGAGGUACGACCUCACGUCUGAUGUAGACUUCAUUGCCCAAGCCCUCCCCUCUUUCACUGCCCGACCCACGGCUGCUCCCUUCCCGGCUCAGCAAAUCUGAACUAUUUUAUGCAGAAUACAGACGCUGUGGACUGAGGGGGUCUCCCACCCUGGGGCAUGUGGUGGUUAGGCCACCUCCUGAGAGGCUGCAGGAAGGGAUGAAGCUCCGUGAGGUGAAGGUGCAAUGUAAGCCUGUGUUUCCUAUACUCCCGUUGAGCUACCAAAGAAAACAUAGCAAAGAACAGGUGGGAGGUACUUCUGACUCCAGCACUGGUUUUUGUCAUGUCCGGUCCAGCAGAUGUUUCCCUGAAGAUCUCAUGAGAUGGACAAAGCCCCCUUUAAGUAUUAAAGGAUGUGAAGGAGACCCUUGGCUGUGCUGCAGUAGACUGUUGAGAACACGCAUGAUGAAAAUCACAUAAAGUUUGUGACUCCUGGCAUCAAGAUAAACUUAAAAGUUUUGGCUCAAUUCUGUUUUCAAGCUUUUACACUGCAAGUGUAAAAAUUUAAAAAUUAUAAACUGUGUCAGAAACCUGAAUAAAUCAAGAACAGUUAUGGAGACAAGUCCUUCCAAAAAUCAAGUCUGCUGCAAAUGGAGCUGAUGAAUAUCUGGAGCAAUGCAGUGUAUGAAAUGAGACGAGCAUUUCAGAUGGAGCUUCCACAGGCAGAUGUUUGCAAUCACAGUUUAAUAAAACUAACCACCAGUUGUAAUGUGACAAGUAAAAGAUAGCUCUCUGUAACAUGUUUAACUGUGACUUCCAGCUAUUCAGAGCCUCUCUUUUUAAAAAAGCACCACAAUGUGUAAAAUGGUGCUGUUGCUUGUAGGUUGCAGGCACCUCACACUGUUUGCAGCAGUGCAGCCUUUCCAUACUCCUGUGAUACAGGGAACCAGGGACGACAUGUUUUGCAGUGGAACAAUCUGUAAAGAAGAAAUACAUGUGCCGCCUAAUUGAGACCGACUGGCUGAUACCAAGACAAAUCCUACACCAUCUACCUGUUGUCUACUCUUCACUGGAGCUGUGUAAAGCUACUGAAAUAGUCAUCCAGUUUUGGGGUUGUGCACUUCAUUUUCUUUCCCUGCUAGAGAAAAAUAGGGCCAGAUGCUUAGGAUGGGAUAAACCUGCAUCGCAGCUGUGUAAGGUGGGAAGGAAGAACAUUUUCCAUUAAAAUCCUGCUAGUAGGGAAGUGGAGCUCUUUGCUUCCAGAUCUUAUUAGGAAGUUAGAAAAGGUAAAUUAUGGGACUAUCAACAUGGUGUGAAAUGAUGGAAGACAAAGUAAGAACAGGUACUGAUUUCACUCUCACUAUUUGGGUUAGAGGAAUGCUCCUCUUGCCUUCUUUUCCUGUGGGAUUGAUGGGUAUUAGGAAGUAGUCUCAGUGCAGUUCCCAGAAGAACCCGAUUUUAACUGGACUUGGAGGGAACCACAAUUAUCCCCUUGAAACUUCAGCGGGCAAUACCAGAUAUGUCAUUAAGAAAGUUCCACUAAUAUUGAGGUAUCCUUGCUCCCUGGAGCAGCAUCCAGAGAAAAACAACCCCUUAAGGCUACGAGGUGUGAUGCCUGCACUCCUGGCCACUGGCUACCUCUUGCUAAAGAGGCAUUAAGAAAACUCAAAUCAACAUUCUUGAUCUGUGCUGAAAAUUGCAUGAUGUUCCACCAUCGCUGUGAAAGAGGUUAUUAGUUCUGCAAAAGCUACUAUAUAAUUUCAUGGAGACAUUUCCCAUUGCUGAAACACAUUUGAAUGAAAUUAAUUUCUGAAUAAAAAAUUAACUGAAGAAUUUAAUGGAUGACACCAGAGUCAAAGUUUGGCAUUCUGAAUUCUCUUCUUUUUGCCUUUUAAAAAAAACAUGAAUGAAAACAUAGUUCACUCCCACCCUCUUUUGUGUAUCUUUUUGUUAAGUAUCUAUAUAAAUGAAUACCUACGCAAAUGUUAAUGUGAUUAUCACCACCAUCAGAAAAUGUUUUCCACAUCUUAAAACCAAUUCUUUUUUCUUUGCUUUUCUUAAUAUCUGAAGUGGAAAGUCAGUGCAGAAAGAUAACACCUUAGUCAUGGAUCAUUUUGUUUGACUUCUGUGGAGAGAAGCAGUUUACUUUAUGGUAUUUAUCUUGUAAUAAAGAGUUAAUGCUAACUUUGUUUUGUUUUGUUUUGUUUGUUUUGUUUUACUUUGGUUUACAGAUGAGGUAUCUUAGCUGCAUUGCAUAAAAGCACUUUAAGAUGGAUUACUGAAUACUGGGAAAUACAUCUACAGUUCUUAAUUUUUUGGAAACAAAAUAUGUUAGCAGCAAAAAGAAAACUUGGUUUUUAUCUGCAUCACAGAAUAUUCUGAAGACAGUAAUUAUUGACAAACUGUAUAGUGAGAGGUGUGGUUUGCACUGCUCUGGGGCCAGGGAGAGUUCUGCUUUUGGACAGCACGUAGCAUAAAAAAAAUCCUUGAGAGGAGGCACCACCAGAGUGUAAAAUAAGUAAAAAUCUGAUUCUCAGUUUACUUCUAAUUUUUCUUCAAGGAUUCAUCGAUCAUCCCCAGCUUUUGAGCAAAUCAAAUAAGGCACAUUUAGCACACGCACUGUUUCUUGUGCAUGCAAAAUUGCAAGGUGUGUGUUUCUUCAUGCUGGAGUACAGUUCUUGAAUCCUGAAGUCAGAGCCACGCAGGGAGAACCUGGAGAGUGCUCAGAGACUACUAAUUUAAGUGCAUCUUCAGACAUAUGCAUUAACCCAUGCAGGUCUGAGUACUUGACUGGGUUCUUCAACUAGGAGCAAGUCUACUGAGUUGACACAGAGUUAAACUAAACGGAAGAUGAAAAAGGUUCAAAAUACCCUUGAGAUGCAUGUACAACCACUGCACCAAAAUAUUUAUUUAUUUGCUUGCUUAGGAUUUAACAGUAAGUUUUACUUAGGCCCUUUCAUUAUUUACCUAUUGCACUGUGUACUGGAAAUGCAGCUCUUCUGUUAAAUUCCUAUUUGCUUACUUUCUUGCUUGCUUGCUUUCAGCGCCAUGGGCCCUAAUGGACAAAUCAGUUAAGGACAUUGUUUCAUUCUAAACAUAUAUAAACUUCAGAAACAGGCUGAUUUACAGCCAGUGAGAAUUUUGAAAUGGAAAUCAACAGAGAAAAGCUAUGAUCAGUACCUAAAGCAUGAUUUUCCUAUUUUAUAUUAUUUAUAAAUUAUAACUUAAAAUUAAAACCCAAUUUGUUUCUAUGAAAUAUGGCUAUGUAUAUUUCAUUCUUUAAAGGUUUCUUAGAGAGCUAUCUAUCUUCAUCUUCUCUAUGAAAUUACUGUUUUUUCAAAACUUCCUCCUUUAUCCUUGUGUUUCUUAUGCUCAGCAAUAAAAUUUUAGCUUUAUAUUAAACAAAAUGUAAAAUUCAAUGAAAAAACCCCUUAAAACAGUUUCAAGUCACUUGUAUUUUUAUUGCUAUUUUACAUUAAUUUUAUGAUUAUAGAGUUUAGCUUUUCAGAAAUCCUGUAGAUCUUCUGCAGACAAAAUCUUUGUUGAAAUUGCAUGAAACAAAGAUUAUAAAACUAAGCUGUGAGAUUAGCGCUGUGUGUGUGUGUGUGUGUGUGUGUGUGUGUGUGUAACACAGCCCCUGAUCAUUUUUAAUGCCAUGUCCUGCUGGCUAUUCAGAACACUUUUUCCACCAAUACAACAUAACUUUUGAUUUAUUUAAUGUAUAUGUUUUUCCCAAUUUCCUACUAAAAUAAACUGCUCAUAUUGCUUAAAUACA